CCAUGCAGUCGAACGAUGAACUUGGAGCUUGCUCUGGGGGAUUAGUGGCGAACGGGUGAGUAACACGUGAGUAACCUGCCCUGGACUCUGGGAUAACUUCGAGAAAUCGGAGCUAAUACCGGAUAGGACCUUGCACCGCAUGGUGUGGGGUGGAAAGUUUUUCGGUUUGGGAUGGACUCGCGGCCUAUCAGCUUGUUGGUGAGGUAAUGGCUCACCAAGGCGUCGACGGGUAGCCGGCCUGAGAGGGUGACCGGCCACACUGGGACUGAGACACGGCCCAGACUCCUACGGGAGGCAGCAGUGGGGAAUAUUGCACAAUGGGCGCAAGCCUGAUGCAGCAACGCCGCGUGCGGGAUGACGGCCUUCGGGUUGUAAACCGCUUUUAGUAGGGAAGAAGCCUUCGGGUGACGGUACCUGCAGAAAAAGGACCGGCUAACUACGUGCCAGCAGCCGCGGUAAUACGUAGGGUCCGAGCGUUGUCCGGAAUUAUUGGGCGUAAAGAGCUCGUAGGCGGUUUGUCGCGUCUGCUGUGAAAACUAGAGGCUCAACCUCUAGCCUGCAGUGGGUACGGGCAGACUUGAGUGGUGUAGGGGAGACUGGAAUUCCUGGUGUAGCGGUGGAAUGCGCAGAUAUCAGGAGGAACACCGAUGGCGAAGGCAGGUCUC
rnacentral:rRNA from 1 species